ensembl:lncRNA
AAAAGCAAUAGCGCAGAAAUCUCACUUUUGCAUUGUUGUUAAAUCUAUUUCACAAGUGGAUUUAAGAAUGUGGCCUGCAAACAAGCUUUGAUUAAUUACCUCCACUCAAUGGUUUUUUUUAAAAAAGGACAGAAUAAAAUCCUUGAAAUACAUUGUUAAUGGAUAAGCUUUUUGACCUGUCAGUUGUAAUUUGUAAGAAGCGACAGUUGAAUUAAUGUGCAAUUGUGUGCCAAGCCACAAACAGAAUUUUGAAAUAUUCCUUAAAGGAAUAUACAGUACAACUGAUUUCCUGUCGCAGCAGCUGGUGGUGUCAUCCAAAUAAUGUUAAGCAUAAUAACCAAAAACUGGCUCACGGGCAGAAGGUAAAUUUCAGCAAAGCCCACGAGCUGAUUUUCUACACAGAUGGAAUAAAAUGUGUUGUUAUAAGUGACAGUAGCAGGGCAUGGGGUACAAAUCUGACAUUAAUGGCAGCUGAGACUGCUUUUACCAUUCCCUACGAGGUCACAGAAUUUGACCAAGUAAAUCAUGGCAGACUUAAAGGAUCACUAUAUAUCAGAACGCAGAUAUAGACCUAUAAGGUGUCUAAAUAACCCAAGUCUUGUGGGCAAUGCUGGGUUUAAGUUAUUCUGUUCCCUGUUAUUGAAUUUGGAAUCUGCGUUUUGUUAGUCUGUGCUCUCAUGGAACAAAGCUGUUAUUGUAAUAUAAAGAACUGGUAGUAUUUUACUUGAAAAUACCAGUCAGUCUGAGGAGAAAUAUCAAAGGAUAUAAAACUAAACUAACCAUGGGAGACUGGACUUUAAUACUUUGACUUAUGUCUGCUGGAAUAUCAAGUAAGAAAUGUUUUAAAUUAUUUUUAUCAUUCCCCGUAUGGAAAAGAAUGUGCAUUGUGAAUUGAUACCAUUCUCUAAUAUCACAGUACAUCAAAGGGAAAACUACCGUGUGUGUGUGUACGCGGUCUCUGGAGGAGUCAUUUAGCCGUCACAUUUUUUAAACCCACAUUAUAACAUUAAAAUCGCAUUAGAACAUUAAAAUACAAGCAAGGAUUGAUUUUAUAUAUAAAAAAGAAAUGUAUGUUAUGUAUAUAGUUUAAACUUUAAGUUUUUGGACUGACUCAUGCAUAAACAUGUUUAACUGCAUAAUGUGCAUAGCUACAAACAGGUUUUUGUGUUGGCUCUGCACUUUAUUGUGAUUUUUUUCUAUGCAAAUCCAUGUUUAAAAAAUAAAUAAAUAAAUAAAAGUAAAUUAGUAUCAAAAUUUUAGCACAACAGUAAUAUUUAAAUUUAAGUUUUAUUUUGCCUUGCAAAAUUAUAAACUUGAUUAAUAAGUAUAUCACACACAUUUCAUUGUCAAAAAAAUGUAAACCAUAGAACAUACAAUCAAUACAGAAACAUAAUAUAUAGGCUAAACAACAAUAUAUAAUUAAAAUUCAUGCAAAGCAAAGCUUUGGUUUUCAAACCAAAUUCAAGUUCAGUUUUGCCCCUUUUUUUGGAAUAUAUUUUGCUAAUUACAGAUCAAAAAUGAUUAAAUAAAUAAAAGAUAAUGCUGAAAGUUGGGCCCAAAGGAUUAACACAUUACUCAUAAACGGAAUCUGUUCAAAUAAGUAAUGUGUAACCUUGACGCCUCUGAAAAAAUAAAGGUGCAAAUUGCUUCAACAGUGCCACCUAGGGGUGAGGAGUUACACUUCUCUCUUCAAUUGCAUUCUUGACUUUCUAGUUUGUCAGAUGUAGUCUAAAAGAUAGGUUUCUUUAAUAAAUAUCUUCAAUAAAUAAUUAAACUUUUGGCAACAGUAAAUAAUAUUAUUAUUUAUUCAAGCUGGAUUUAAGAAGAAAAAAAAACACUUCAUGGAGAAAAAAAAUCAUCUUAAGUACUCAUGUAUCAUGCCUCAAAAAUCAACUUUAAAUCAAUUAUUUUCAGCCAUGACACACAUAUGCAAAAUCCCACAUUUUAAGUUCAGAAUCAAUGUUCUACCAGAAAGACUCAGGAGGUGAAGAUAAAACGCAAAAGUAUUUAUUUACAAAACCAAUACAAAGAACAGAAUCAUUUUGCCGUAGACCCCAUCUGUAGCUUUAAUCAGACGUUGUAGAUUCCAGUUAUUCCUGCCGAAGACAAAGGCAGGGCGGAGCAUACCCCCGCAUGUACGGGGCCAUCCUGGUGGUUGUGGGGAGGAUGGAGGGAAACAUCUCAGCAGUAUCUGCAAACACAAUGAAGGGAGAUGACAACUGUGGCCACGUCUUGGCGGAUAAAUGCCAAAUAAAACAUUUGGAACAUGGCUGUAAGGCACUGCAAAGCAGCCAGCUCUGUUUUCAUCCAAAUGCCAAGUUCUUCUGGACCAAAGGGGAAAAAGUCAGGCAUGCAUUUUGUUGACUGAAGCAGUGAUAUUGGUGAAAAACCACAUGGCACUCAUUUGAGAAGAGGCUGACUCUGCAUGCAUUCUCUGGUGGAUAGGUCACCCUCAGGGAUGUUCAAACAGCACAGCAACCCAGACUGCUCUCCAAAAACGGUUGAAAAUAAAUACUAUGAGACAUACUGCGACAACCCGAAUGAUUGGGAAUCUUCACAGAUGUGAUCUCGGAAUGCUUAAUAUUUGAAACAACAAAAUAUAUUUAUUUGUGUUAAACUCAUUGCAAUUAGGUGCUCUACAUAAGACCGCAUUCAAUGUUCAUUUCAUACUUCAUAUACUGCUACUGCAUCGGCUACUAUUUAUUCUGUUUAGAUGUUGUUUCCCAUACAUUGAUUUAUUUGUGGCAGCCCGCCAUAAUAUCAGCAUUGACUGCCACAAAUAUAUUUGCACAUAUUUGUCCAGAACUCAUGCAAGAAUCAUGAUAUGGCUGUGUUAAACUUCAAAAGGUUAUGAUUUAAUUUAAUAAAUAUGAGCGUUGCACAUUUCAAAGUCAAAACGCAGUGUGUUUUUGUGUUUGUAUCUCUGAAGGGAACCGAUUCUCUUCAGAAAAGGAUCAAUGGCAUUUUCAUUUUAUCUUACCUACUUACAAUGCCUGAUAAAGCAGUGUUUAUGAGUGCAGUGCUGCUUUUUGUACUGCCAUUACCCUGAAUAAAUGAAUUUGCA